UCUGCAACCCGUGCAUAUCUUAUUUACCCCCAAGCUUCUAAGGUCAAUAUAGGACCCUACUUUUUUCAAGUGCUAUUGAUUAGUUGCCUGUUUAGACUUUUGCUAUAUGAAUUACAUUUUUUAAAAUGAUAAUCAAAAUGUAAUAUUGAACACAAUUUAGGGCAUUAUGUCAUAAAUAUUUACUAAGACAAUGUUUGCAUUUCAUAAUCUAUAAUACAUAUUGAUUUUAGUAUCACAUUUACAGAUUGAUUCUGAGUAAUUAGCACAGAUUUCUAAAAGAAACUUUAUGGGAUGCUGAGACAUGAAUAAAAACAACUUUAUUCCUUUGGGAAGGACAACCCACAUGCUAAGAUGAUACUGCACGUUGUUAUAGCCCGAAGGGCCCUCUUUCCACAGGGGAGCAGUGAGUAGAGGUUGCCCAUCUGGAUUCCCAAGUCAGAUAGAUAUGGAUUCAGAUCCCAGCUCUGCUGCUUGCUACCCAAGAGACCAUGGACUGUGGACUCUUUAGGUCUCAGGGUUUUAGUUUGUUGUCUGUUUUUCAUUUCCAAAACCAGUAAAUGAUAAGAUAUUUUCCAUAAGAUGGCGGUGGUGAGUAAAUGUAAUUAUAUGUCUAAAGCUUUGAGCAUGAAAGCUGGCACACAUUUAAGUAAGUGCUUGAUAAAUGUUAAUUCUUACAACUAUUAGUAUCAUUUAGAUUUAGAUUGCUGAGUUAGUGGGAAAUAAUGCCUUUAUCAUGUGAGGAAUCCCUGUUCUCAAAAGGAGUUAUUAUCAUUAGAAUGCGAACUGUUUUCAAAACAAGCUAAUUGACCAUUUUAUUCAGAAGCACCAUCUGCUACUCAUUAGAGUCUAGGUUUUUGUCAGCUCAGGGGUGCCCAUAUAUGAGUUGAUAACCCUAUUUCAGUCUUGGUUGUUGAAUCCUCAGUGUCUGGGGUUGACUGACUAUCAGGUAUCUGCAUCUCUGAAAGUAAUUUUCAGCAGUGAGUUUUUAGUUAGGUUCUUUCGUUAUAGUUCUGGAUAAUUAACACUAAAAUGAGACGUCUUAGAAGGCCUUGGCUCAGAUAAUUGAGAGAAGUGAAUGUUGAACAAGAUUCAGGAAGGGAAGAGCUGGGAGACCCCAAUGUCUGGAUUUCAUGCUCCUUUUCUCCAAGCACAUCCACUGUGGGGCUUGGCCUCAAUCCCCUAGAUGUCUUCAAUAUAAUCUUCAAUUGUCAGGAGAAGAGAGCUUGAUGGACCUUGCUUGGACCAAAUGCCUUCACCACUAACUCAGUCAGCUAUGGCGAUGGGUCAAGGACCUGGUGGUUUUACAGAGAAGGCCCCUGGUCAAAUCUUUGUGAAUGAAGCAACCAUUCUGAUGUUCAAUAACGGGAAUGCACCAGUUUAUGCCAAACUAUCUGUACUAUUGAGAACAACAAAAAUAUCUGACCAAAAACACCAAAGAGUGACAUUUUAAAAGACAUCAAGGAACUCUCAAGGCUUCCAGAGUUGGAAAGAUCAAGAAAGAGAGAAUGCAACUUCAUUAAGACACAAAAAGGAAGAGGACACAGAAGUGGAGGCAGUUCAAUGAAAAGGAUGACGAGAAGGAGACUGUCCACAAAUAAAUUUCACUUAUAAAAGUUCAGAU